UUUGGACCAGUUAAGUUUGGUUUCAAGUCACUCUGAUAUGUAGUGAAUUGACAUAAUGUACUUCUCAGAAACAUGACUGACAUGUCACAGUUUGUAGGAUUACUAUUAAUAGACCACUCUGCAGUUAUAAUCCAUGCCAUAUGUGUUGAUUGUGUCUCUCUUAUAUAAUAGGAAAUGUUAUUAACCAAAUUAAAAACCAAUGCACAACCACUCAUUAGAAUUGGACUUGUGAAACACUAGUACACCACAACUGAAACCAGAUCUGAAAGAGACUCCCCAGAGUCUAAAUAUAGAACACCUCACAGUGCAUCAUGGGAAGCGGUCAAGCUGAAGGUGCCCCGGGUGGGAAAGUUGGCUGUCCAGGACUAUUGUGGGGAUUCAUUUGGUUUCUGAUCUUGAUAUUCCUCGGAUGGCCAAUAGGAUUUUUUGUGGCAUGGUGGUACAUUUUCCUACUGCCGUUUUCUGCAUGCAUCGAGGCACUUAAAGACACUUGUGAACUUUUGCUAAGAAUAGUGAAACUGCCACUGACAUGUGCACAGAACAUGGUGGCCAUGAAACCUCUAUGUGGAUAACAAUUCUAUAUUGAAGACGUACCUGUCUACACCAGCAUUUGAAAUAAUAGUCUCAGCAUCACAAAUGUAAAUUAAAUGUCAUUUUGCUUGGUUUGUAGCUUUUGUAUUAUUAUUGCUUAAUAAUAAUGCAUUCUUUCAUUUAUGAUCUGUCACCUCUAGAUAUCAAUUUUUAAAUCAGCAUUAACUUACACGCAAUGUUGUAUCUGAUGUCAAUAAAAAAUCUUGUGUAAAAAAAUUGUUGUAUAUCCCAAACCCU